UGGCAGGAAGAUCACUUCCAGUGGAAGGAGGGAUUUGGACCAAGUUGCUGGACGUAUUGUUAUUGCUCCUUGAUCUGUAAACUGCUUCUAGGUUGAGUUUUGUGUUUUGAGAUAUGUGAUGAUAACAAAGAUAAUGUGCAAUUUUGAUUUUAGUCAUUGAGUGGCUUAUGUAUUAGACUUGUUCAAUGCUAUGUUGCUUUUUAGUCUUUUAGUUUGUCUUAUCACAUUUUAUUCACUGGAUUUUUUUGGAAUUUCACUCUUAAAAUUCUUGUCUGUUAAGUUUGCUUUACAAAAUUAUACCUAUCUAUCGUCUUGUAAUGUUAUAACUACACCGCAUGUUCCCCGUUACAACUAGCAUUUGCAUAUUUUCAAACAUAUGACAUUUGCUUAUUAUCAAGGCUGCCCUUAAUGUCAUGCAUAAUUUCCUUCACUUUGUGCCUCUACUUGCAGUUUUACUUAGUAGCACCUCUGCUCCCAACCUUUCAUUUUACAUUUGGUAAUUCCUAAAACUCUAUCUUGCCCAACGCCCACCAUCAAAAUUGGCACCAGGAGUGUUUGAAUCAAAGUCUCCGGCCAACCCAUGAUUUGAAUCUAUCUCUCCUAGAUUGGAUAACUGGGAUCCGUUAUGGUAUUGUUAUUAACCGGGUACCGCAGCUGAGGUUCAGUAGGAUAUCUUAGAUUGCAAAACUUUUAAUUUGAUUUAUUAGGUACAAGGCUUAUUCUGGGGUGAAUAGUUACAAACAAUAAAAAGGAUCUGCAGAUAUCCAACACCACCACAACUAACAACAAAACUACAUAUAGCAACAAAUGCAACUCACGCACUAAACAGAACACAAAACUGAAGCUACAAGCUACAACUGGGUGCCCACACUUUUGAAAGGAAACCAUUAGAUUAUAAGAAGCUCAGCAAUAUAGCUGCAGUUAUAAGAGCUAGUCUGCCUCUUCAAAAGACCACACCUGAAACUACACACCACAGUCCGAACAACUUAACUCCAAAGAAACAUCCCUGACACUUAAAAAAUAAACCUCUGCGAACACUGGAAUAAAAAAGGGAUUAAUGUGUCCUGCUAAGCGGCUCCUACUAAACUGAUAGCACCUUCCUUCCUCUUCAAAUACACACAAAUGAAAAGCUAUAAUCACCAAUGAAGUCCAGAAGGAAAAAAAGAAGGGGUGAAGAUGCAGCCCUUCAAAAUACAAGAAGUACGAAAAAGGCAAAAGUACAACCAAAACAAACACAGUCCAAUUCUAACUAAAUGACACUGCCAAAGCCACUUGAGUAAUCUAAAGUCUAUACAAAUGAUGCUAAAUGGUUUUGAUGACAUGCUUAAUUUCUAUUGUAACUGAAGAGCUUUUCAUUUUAAUCACUUCAUUCCUUUAGAUGCAACUAUUUGCUUGUUGGGAGUAGCAUUUGAGGUCCCCAAGUUUUUAUUUUGAGUAUUCAUUUAAUUAUUCUGUGAAUUCAAAGCUACUACAACAGAAAUUGUGGACAAACACUUGAGUUAUAAUCCAUUAUCAACUUUAUAUGCAGUAUUUUUGAGACACUUUUCAAAUCAACCAAAAUGAAUGAAGCUAAUUGUAUUUUGUAGUUACUUUAUUCUCUUUCUUUUAGCUUAGAACCCUAGUUUCUUAUAUUUUUCUUUGUUGUAGCAUUUAGAGCCUAAUUGAGAGUUGAACUCAAGAAAGCAUCUACAUAUAGGGGUAUUUCCAAAGUGUCUCAAAGACAUUAUAGAGGUGAUAAUAGAUAAUAACCUAAGAGCAACUUUAACGGACAAUGUCAUCAUCCAUUUUAUGGUUUUUAUUAAAGUUUGCUGUUUGAGAGAUCUCCGACACAACAGUAAAAAAAUGUAUUAUAUAUGCGUAAAUGAGUUAAAUUGUUGAAAUUCAAUGUGAGUUUCUUAAUAUUGUCCAUUGGAGUAAAAAAAAAAAGAAUGAAUUAUUUUAUGAUAUGGCUCAAUGAGAUACAAAAUAAUCUUUAAAGAAGAUCACCAUUGUAGUUGCUCUAAAGACUAAAAUAGAAUCUAUUGUCCGUAAAUUCUUCACCUAAAAUAUUCUAACUUAACUCUUUGACAUAAACUCGGGCACUACAAUGAGAUGUUAAAAGAUAUCUUUCAACUUAAUCAAAGUAUGUCCUCGAAUCCAACUCUAAAAUGCAACAUUGUUAAAUCUCUGACAGCUAUGUCAUAACAAAAACCUUCUUUUGGAAAAUGACAUGUCUUCUCGGAGAGUCUUCCAAAUUUCCAAUGCACUCUAUCCGGAACACCAAAUGAUUCCUUCAAUUACUUCAUAACAUUACAACAAUUUUAAUAAACCAGUCAACCAUAUGAGCUGUUGAAAUUGGCAAAAUAAUCUCCAAGAAAAUCAUUUGGGACAAAAAAACAUUCAAAUCAGCGCAUUCCUCCAAUUUUGAUAUUAAGAAAUUUGGACAGUUAAGAUUUGAGAAGUUUCCUUUGUCAUAUUAUCAUUAUAGUAUCUAGAUGUUAAAUAUCUAACAACAUUUUGAAUAGAACAACAAAGCACCAGUGGUCUAGUGGUAGAAUAGUACCCUGCCACGGUACAGACCCGGGUUCGAUUCCCGGCUGGUGCAAAUUUGAGGGAGCUAUGAUGAUAAUAUCUGUGGUGUUCGGUAACAUCACUUCUCCUGAAACAUUGGAUGAAUACCAUACCCCUGAGCUCCUUUUUUAUUUUUGCAAAUUUCAAGUCGUGUAUUUUUUUGUUGUAUAUUAUUGUUAAUUCUGUUGAAUUAACUAACUGUUCAAAAGAAGAAGCAUGUCCUGUUUUCGAGUCAUCCCUUGUGCAUGGUGGAAAUGGCUUCGUCGCAGCAAUGGUAUGUAUAGAGGAUAUGCCAGGACUAGAGUGCUCCUUGGUUUUAAGGUUCAUGAGCUACGUGCUCCUUGGUUUAAGGUUCAUGAGCUACAUUUAUGUGGCGAUCCUAGUGUUUUGCAUAUUGUUCGAAAGACAUAUCAAGGUACAAAAGAUGAGUUGUGCGAGCAACAAUAUGAGAGGUUCAAACAGUUGGUGGUAGAAGCCAAGACACUGCUUGGAAAGGCAUGUCAAGAUUUAGGAGAUGAGUUGUGUGAGUAAACAUUGUGAGAACUUUGCCACCAGAAAUUUGUUCAAUGAUCAAAUGGGGACGGGCCUGAACCUCAACAUUCAAAGGGUGAUUUUCAGUAGCCUUUCGAAGUACAAUGGUGGCAAAAUUCUUACUGUUCCAGCAAAUUGCAGGAAGAGCUGGUAGAAGAGGAUGCCUUUAUCCCGAUGGACCGCUACUACCUUGCAUUUGGAUGAUAUGGAUUAUUUGAUCAAGUGUUUGAAACAGCCCUUUGACCAUGUUACGACGGUUGACAUUUUUCCUUUUUACGAGCAUGUAGAAUUGUUUGCCGGCAACUUCCUAAUAUGACAUUCAGCUAACUUUUAGAAAAUUUGGUAAAAAUUGCUGUUUGGAUGGGUCAUACUUCUUGUGUCCACAGGAUCACAUAUACAAAACUGCUAAUAUGUUAGAUGACUUAGAUCAAAUUCAAGGGCUAUGUAACAUUAGUCACAUUUGCAACACUGUUCAGUCAAAAGGUCCCAUCUCCCAGGAAGCAUGCCUAAGAAUUAUUCAAGACUCUUGGACCUUGAGAGUAGACAUCAAGUAUUAUUGUCAUAUUUGUGGUUAUCAAACUAUUUUGAUGAGGAAAAUUUUCCAUAUGCAAAGAAAGCCGAGGCAAUGGCGCCAGACAAUGCUUGCUUACUUGGUUAAUCUCUUGUCAAAGCGGGUUGGAAACCUGAAUCAAGGAAUAGAGGAGAACCAAAAGCUGGAAAAAGUGAAUAGCAAACAUAAUUAAGAAGGAUCUUGGAUAUUCAAGAGUCAAGACCACAGUCUCCUGUUAAAUUAUAUGACAAGUGUACCUUUCGAUGUAUAGCUUCUUAUUUAUCAAAUUUUUCUGUGUGGAAAUUAGAACAUUUCCUUCAUUUCAAAUAAACUCCGGCUGGUUUUACUAUCCGUGCAUAUGCAUUCAUUGUCUACUUGAAAGACUUCUGGCUAGUCAUGCUUGCACUUCUUUUACAGAAUCGAUAUUUCCAUUGGUUCAUUAUUCCGGCUUAUAAAUUAUGUAUUUUUAUUCCUGAUUAUGUAUUUUUUUUUCCUGUUAUUCAGGAAAAGGCAGGAAAAUUCAUAUCGCUUAAAGAAAAUAAUUUCAUAAUAUGAUGACUUUGGAGGUAAAGGAAGAACAGUGGUGCCAUUGCUCAUCAGUCAUCAAAUUUGCGACCACAAAUUCCUGAGCGUUUGAUGUGGCUAAUGAGACUCAAAAUAAUCUUUAAAAAAAGAUCAUUAAAGUUGCUCUAAAGACAAAGAAACUCAAUUACUAUACGUUUGAUGUGGACUAUGUCAGAGCUGGUGAGUUUCUUGUGUUUGAGAGAUUUGUCAAAACUUCUGAGGAACAUUUUUUUAUCAAUUUUUUCAUUGAAAAUUGCAAUGUGUUUUUUGUGCUGCAGCUUCCAUUGCAAGGAAGAUCUACUUGAGGGGUGGACUCGGUGUUGGUGCAUUCCAGAGGAUUUAUGGUGGAAGCCAGAGGAAUGGCAGUCGCCCACCUCAUUUCUGCAAGAGCAGUGGUUCCAUUGCUCGCCACAUUCUUCAACAGUUUAGCAGUUGUUCAUGCUAUUAUGCAUCCGUGUGUUUUAUUUAUAUUGUGAUUAGGAUUUGCUUAGAAAUAGUUUCUGCAUCGUCCCUUUGUAUCAUGUUUUUAACAUUGGUUUUUUUUGUAUCACAGUGGCAGGAAGAUCACUUCCAGCGGAAGGAGGGAUUUGGACCAAGUUGCUGGACGUAUUGUUAUUGCUCCUUGAUCUGUAAACUGCUUCUAGGUUGAGUUGUGUUUUGAGAUAUGUGAUGAUAACAAAGAUAAUAUGCAAUUUUGAUUUUAGUCAUUGAGUGGCUUAUGUAUUAGACUUGUUCAAUGCUAUGUUGCUUUUUAGUCUUUUAGUUUGUCUUGUCACAUUUUAUUCACUGGAUUUUUUGGAAUUUCACCCUUAAAUUGUUGUUCAUUAAGUUUGCAUUGCAAACUUAUACCUAUCUAUCGUCUUGU
rnacentral:lncRNA from 1 species